rnacentral:rRNA from 1 species
GCGGGCUUAAUUUGACUCAACACGGGGAACCUCAUCAGGCCAGGACACCGGAAGGAUUGACAGAUUGAGAGCUCUUUCUUGAUUCGGUGGGUGGUGGUGCAUGGCCGUUCUUAGUUCGUGGAUUGAUUUGUCUGCUUAAUUGCGAUAACGAACGAGAUCCUACCCUACUAACUAGUCGAAACCGGCAUCCCCUGUGCAGCCGGCGACCAACACUCUUCUUAGAGGGACAGGCGGCUUCCAGCCGCAGGAAGUGGGGCAAUAACAGGUCUGUAAUGCCCUUAGAUGUUCUGGGCAGCACGCGCGCUACACUGAAGGGAUCAACGUGUGUUUUCCUUGCUCGAGAGGGCCGGGUAACCCGUUGAAACUCCUUCGUGCUAGGGAUUGGGGCUUGCAAUUAUUCCCCACCAACGAGGAAUGCCUAGUAAGCGGGAAUCAUUACUUCCUGCUGAUUAAGUCCGACCGUGCCC